GUGUAUACCGCCUUCAGCCUGGCAUGCUCCACACGGCACCCUGACGAGCUCGGAGCUGACACCGCCACAGACCUGGAAACGACGGGAAAAAAACUGUCCCAUGUGGGACGACUUUCUAAAUUUAACUGUUAAAACCAGGCCGGUUACAUAAAGCAGGCGAGACGUCCGUCUCUCGCUCGGUUCAAGAACCUGCAGGAAAAACACGGGUUCACGGGGGUCACAGACGUGUUGUCUGGCGACAGGGGGUCCUGCCGCAUUUGAGCUGUGGGGAGGACGUGGCUUCGGGGGACAGUUUGGCAUGAUGUCAUGGGGGACAGAAAUAACGUCUCCGUCCCCCAUCCCCACCCUCAGCCAGAGCACGUGGCUCCGGCAGGAAUUGAAUUAUCCCGCAUUAUGCCGCGAUCCCCCGCUGCAGUGGGCUGAAGUUGGCAUGGAGCGCAGAGCCGUGUGCAGGACCGUAGCGUAGCACACUGGAGCCACACCUGACCACUGUCCACAGACA
rnacentral:lncRNA from 1 species